rnacentral:rRNA from 1 species
UAGGGAAUCUUCGGCAAUGGGGGCAACCCUGACCGAGCAACGCCGCGUGAGUGAAGAAGGUUUUCGGAUCGUAAAGCUCUGUUGUAAGUCAAGAACGGGUGUGAGAGUGGAAAGUUCACACUGUGACGGUAGCUUACCAGAAAGGGACGGCUAACUACGUGCCAGCAGCCGCGGUAAUACGUAGGUCCCGAGCGUUGUCCGGAUUUAUUGGGCGUAAAGCGAGCGCAGGCGGUUUGAUAAGUCUGAAGUUAAAGGCUGUGGCUCAACCAUAGUUCGCUUUGGAAACUGUCAAACUUGAGUGCAGAAGGGGAGAGUGGAAUUCCAUGUGUAGCGGUGAAAUGCGUAGAUAUAUGGAGGAACACCGGUGGCGAAAGCGGCUCUCUGGUCUGUAACUGACGCUGAGGCUCGAAAGCGUGGGGAGCGAACAGGAUUAGAUACCCUGGUAGUCCACGCCGUAAACGAUGAGUGCUAGGUGUUGGAUCCUUUCCGGGAUUCAGUGCCGCAGCUAACGCAUUAAGCACUCCGCCUGGGGAGUACGACCGCAAGGUUAAAA